GUGCUGUUGAAGAGUCCCAAACUAGGACGAAACAACUGUCCAGUAC
rnacentral:hammerhead_ribozyme from 1 species